UCUAAUGCGUUUUUAAGCUAUAACUCGUCUCGUCAUCUCCGUAAUUAUCCGGAAAGGACACAUAUUGAUAUUGAGAUAUUGAGUUCACAGCUAACAGGACUAUUGAUUGGUAUUCAAGGAUUUCAAGGAUUCGGUAAACAGAUUUCCCUUGAGUGCGCUGAGUUGUGUUAAGUUGAGCUGGGCACAGAAAAGGCCGAAAGCGAACCAGUUGUUGUCAGUUGGAAACUACAAGUUGGAAGCGAUGCAGCAUUUGAUUAUUGUGUGCGGCAUAUUGUUGUUGAUGGUUCAGUGUCAAGCUGCGCUGACGGCGAUAGACUUAUUGCCAGCACCGGACACCGGACAAUUGACAACUUUGGCCGAGGCACUUGGCCAGGUGCUGCAGCACUCGGAGAUGUCACAGCGCCAGACACUUUACAUCCAUAUGCAGUUCAGUGCGACGUCAUCGCAUCCACAACUGCUCGAGUUGCUCGCACGUGUGCUCGACAUUCUGCCAGCAACAGCGUCACAGACACGCUGUCUGUUCGAGCAACGCCCCAUGGAGUACAGGCCGUAUGUGCAUGCGGUGCUGCUGCUGGUGGACGAUAUACGUGCCUUGCGCACCGUUUACCGUAAGCUGCACGCCACCAGCGAUCUAUCCUUGACGCUCAUCUACAUGAUGCGACCACAGCCGACAGCGGCCAUGAAGCUGCUCUGGCAGCGCAGUGUCCUCAAUGUUGCCAUCCUGGUUGUGGAGGAGCAGCAGCAGAGGGUGAUGAUGCUCAGCUUUUAUCCAUAUAGUGCCACCCAUGGCUGUCGGGUGAUAAAGGCGAGCAUUGUGAAUCAAUAUGUCGCCGCUGUGGGACGCUGGGCCAACGAUGACUUUUUCCCCGACAAGUUGAGCAACUUCUUUGGCUGCACGCUGACGUGUGCCACGUGGCCGGAUAUGCCGUAUCUGGUGCGGCAGCCCAACGGCCAAUUUGUUGGCAUCGAAGGCGAACUGCUGCAGUUCAUGGCCGCCAAUUUGAACUUCAGCAUCGGCAUCUACUGGCUGAACAACUCCCAGGUGCGUGACACCUUCAAUGAGUCCGGCUGGGUAUUCGACCAGAUCUUUGCCAACGCCGAAUAUGCCUUGGGCGGUUUCCACUACAAACCCAACGAGGGCACCGAUAUGCCCUACUCGCAGUCGAAGUACUAUUUCAUGAGCCACAUCAUGCUGAUAACCAAUCUGCCCAGCGCCUACUCGCCCUAUGAGAAGUUGGCUUUUCCAUUCCACCCGCUCCUCUGGCAGGCCAUCUGUCUGGUCUUGGCACUCGGAUGUCUGUCGCUCUGGUUGCUGCAGCGAUUUUGGAAGCAUUUGCCUCAUCAUCCCUAUUACCAGUUCCUGGUGCUGACCAUGGGUGGCAAUCUGUUGAGCAGGGAGUUGCCGCUACGCAACUCGUUCCGUUUGCUGUUUGUGACAUGGCUGCUGUGGUCCUGGGUGAUGCGCAGUGCCUAUCAGUCGGGCAUGUAUCAGCUGCUGCGCCAGGAUAAGCAACGCCAUCCGCCGCAAACAAUUGCCGAGGUCAUCGAGCAGCGCUACACGAUCCAGAUGGUCGAGGGGAAUGGGGAUCGCUGGCUGGCCAGCCUGCCGGAACUGCGGACGCAACAGUUGCGCCAAUUGACGGCCAGUGAGCUGCAUUCGUUUGCCGGCCUGGCCGAGAGCAGCGGCAGCAAUCAGCGACUGGCAAUCAUAACGCCGUACGAAUACUUUGGCUACUUUCGCAAGGUGCACGAGAUGAGUCGCCGUCUGCAUUUGGUGCGGGAGCGGAUAUUCACCCAACAGCUUGCGUUCAAUGUGCGCCGCCACUCGCAUCUGAUUGGUGUGCUCAACAAACAGAUUAUGCUGGCCCAUUCGCACGGCUUCCUCGAGCAUUGGACACGGAAAUAUGUUAGCGCUGUCGAUGCUUCUGAUGAGAGCACCGAACGCAUCUCGGCAAUACCCACUUAUGGCGGCACGACUAGCACGACACAAGUAUCUAAUGAUGAUGACAACAAUACGGAUACGAAUACGAAUACGAUUACGGAUAUGGAUGCGAAUGCGAAUGAUGAUGAGGAGGAGGAUGAGGCACCCGCUGAGGCGCUGAGGGUGCUCUCAUUCAAGGAGUUGGCCGCUUUGUUCUAUCUAACAGUGUGGAGCAUGCUGUUUGCCAUUCUCGUCUUUGGCCUCGAACUGUUGCUGCAUAAAUAAUGUGCAAAUUUAUUUUGUGCUAAAAACGUUUUAAUUAAAUUAUUUCAUAAUCCACAUCGCACAUCUCAUAAUCCAAAAACAACAGCGCCACCCGCUGCUCCUUUGGGAGGGAGCUGCUUCUGCUCCUGCUCCUAAUUUUGCUUUUGCUUCUGCUGCUGCUGCUGCUGAUAGUUCUGCUCGUAUCGUAAAAACGCAAAACGUUUUAUCUGAAAGCGAUAAAUUUGCAAAACCAAAAAAACUUACAAGCGCGCCACCAAAUCUUCACUCGGACCCCACCCGCAAUAAGCACUUCCUCACACACCCCAAUCCUACACCACCCACCCACCAUCAAUUUUCCCUCUCUGUCUCUAUCUCUGUGUGAUUGUGCUUGUGUGGUUUUCUUGCCGGCAAGCAGAUACUCUUCCAGAAGCUCAAAUUACACCAGCUCUGAAUUUUUUGUGUACGUAUUGCAUUCGAUUGCCAAAGGACUUGUCACGGACCCCACUCUACUUGGUUACCCAAAAACCCGAUUGCUCCCAUUCCAAAUGCCUCCACACCCCUCCCGCCAAACACACACAUACACACCCAAAUGCUGGAGAUGGCGUUGCUGCUAUUUUGCUUAUCGCCUCGCACUUUUGCGCUUCUGCGAACUUUUUUGCCACAAAACUGCUGUAAUGGGCAUGAUGUCGCCUCAGCAUUCAGCAUAUCUAGUACCAGUAACAGUACCACUUCCACUGCCACUACCACAAGUAACAGUCACAGUACGAGUAGGAGCAGCAGCUUCAGCUUUAGCCAAGUAGUCAACGACAUCGACAUCGUCGUCAUCGUUGCUGGAAAUUCAAGUAAAUUUUUUAUGCUUGGCCAGCAUCAUUUACACUAUGAAAUCAAGAAAAGACAGCGAACUGAAUCUAAUUUGGAAAGCAACUAACAACUACGAAUGAAAUUCUACACGCUUAGUAAAAGGAUUUUACAUUAAUUAACAGGGUUUAAGCAAGCGAAUUGUGUAACUAAAUUGCGAUUAUUUGCCAACCGACUGUAAAGCCAAACUAGAAGUGGAUGAACGAGUCAAUGUGUUCUCCAAGAAUGUCAAGUAAAAUCUUGAUGCAGCCACCAGUUUCGUUAGAAAACCAAUGAGUGAUGCAUGUCGAGUGCCAAAUAACUGCGGGGAUCCAGUUCAGGAUCGAGUAAAGUUAAUGGCUUGUUUAUGCGGAAAGAAUGAAUGAAUGAUUAUUAAGUUGCUGGCCAGCCCAGUGCCGAAUGAAACUCGCUGCUCAGUUUUUAUAUGCUCGGCAGAGGCAGUGGCAAAUAUGACGAUACAAAGACCCAGAGCCAGAGUCAGAGUCAGAGCCUGAGUCAGGGGCAGGGGCAGGGGCGUCUAAAACUCGUCUGGACUAUUCCCGACGAUUGACAGUGGCAGCGGCAGCCAUGCCUUGCCUCGUGUGCCAAUGAAUUUUUAUGGCUCGAGUCAGGCGUGGCAGCAACUAUUACCGAUUGCCGGCGACGAGACGAGACGAGACAAGGCAACUAGAACAAAAAAAAAAGAAAACAAAUAUAUUCAUGACAAGAUUAUGUGGCAAGCCGACAGGGGAUGCACCUACAAAUUAGUGCCUGAGUCCGCGAGAUGCGUGAAAAGAGUGGAGGCUGAGAUUGAGGUUUAUUAGCUGCGCUGCUGCUGCUAAUAAGGGAAGGACUGCUGGCCCACUGGCAAACUGGCAAUUUCCGGCCGCAGAAUUGCAGCUAAUUAGCUAAUCGACACAAUUAUGGUAACUGUCGCCGGCAUCGACAUGGCCCCAAACCCGGAUUCAGAGACGCCGAGUUUCGUGCAGUUUGUCAGCCAAAUGCAGCGGAAGCUUACCAGACACACAAACACAUGCACACACACACACACACAUCUGCCCCUGCCACUUUAGGCUGCUACCAACAACAAAAGCCACAAUGACACAUCCGCCACUUGGUCAUGUAACAAAUGUUACCCCAGCGACAAAGGACCAAGUAACAGCAGCCAGGACAGAACAUCACAGGACCGCGCAUAACCGAUCCAAGCAUCCAAAAGUUGUUUACUGAAAGCAGCCAAAUGUUGAAAACUACAAAAAAUCGACGAAUUUCAUUCUUUUAAUUAUGUUCAAAAUUAUU
rnacentral:misc_RNA from 1 species